rnacentral:rRNA from 2 species
CACUGAGGCGUGAUGACGAGGCACUACGGUGCUGAAGCAACAAAUGCCCUGCUUCCAGGAAAAGCCUCUAAGCAUCAGGUAACAUCAAAUCGUACCCCAAACCGACACAGGUGGUCAGGUAGAGAAUACCAAGGCGCUUGAGAGAACUCGGGUGAAGGAACUAGGCAAAAUGGUGCCGUAACUUCGGGAGAAGGCACGCUGACACGUAGGUGAAGUGAUUUACUCAUGGAGCUGAAGUCAGUCGAAGAUACCAGCUGGCUGCAACUGUUUAUUAAAAACACAGCACUGUGCAAACACGAAAGUGGACGUAUACGGUGUGACGCCUGCCCGGUGCCGGAAGGUUAAUUGAUGGGGUCAGCGCAAGCGAAGCUCCUGAUCGAAGCCCCGGUAAACGGCGGCCGUAACUAUAACGGUCCUAAGGUAGCGAAAUUCCUUGUCGGGUAAGUUCCGACCUGCACGAAUGGCGUAAUGAUGGCCAGGCUGUCUCCACCCGAGACUCAGUGAAAUUGAACUCGCUGUGAAGAUGCAGUGUACCCGCGGCAAGACGGAAAGACCCCGUGAACCUUUACUAUAGCUUGACACUGAACAUUGAGCCUUGAUGUGUAGGAUAGGUGGGAGGCUUUGAAGUGUGGACGCCAGUCUGCAUGGAGCCGGCCUUGAAAUACCACCCUUUAAUGUUUGAUGUUCUAACGUGGACCCGUGAUCCGGGUUGCGGACAGUGUCUGGUGGGUAGUUUGACUGGGGCGGUCUCCUCCUAAAGAGUAACGGAGGAGCACGAAGGUUGGCUAAUCCUGGUCGGACAUCAGGAGGUUAGUGCAAUGGCAUAAGCCAGCUUGACUGCGAGCGUGACGGCGCGAGCAGGUGCGAAAGCAGGUCAUAGUGAUCCGGUGGUUCUGAAUGGAAGGGCCAUCGCUCAACGGAUAAAAGGUACUCCGGGGAUAACAGGCUGAUACCGCCCAAGAGUUCAUAUCGACGGCGGUGUUUGGCACCUCGAUGUCGGCUCAUCACAUCCUGGGGCUGAAGUAGGUCCCAAGGGUAUGGCUGUUCGCCAUUUAAAGUGGUACGCGAGCUGGGUUUAGAACGUCGUGAGACAGUUCGGUCCCUAUCUGCCGUGGGCGCUGGAGAACUGAGGGGGGCUGCUCCUAGUACGAGAGGACCGGAGUGGACGCAUCACUGGUGUUCGGGUUGUCAUGCCAAUGGCACUGCCCGGUAGCUAAAUGCGGAAGAGAUAAGUGCUGAAAGCAUCUAAGCACGAAACUUGCCCCGAGAUGAGUUCUCCCUGAGACUUAGAGUCUCCUGAAGGAACGUUGAAGACGACGACGUUGAUAGGCCGGGUGUGUAAGCGCAGCGAUGCGUUGAGCUAACCGGUACUAAUGAACCGUGAGGCUUAACCUUACA